rnacentral:rRNA from 1 species
CGAGCGAGUCUGCCUUGAAGAUCGGAGUGCUUGCACUCUGUGAAACAAGAUACAGGCUAGCGGCGGACGGGUGAGUAACACGUGGGUAACCUGCCCAAGAGAUCGGGAUAACACCUGGAAACAGAUGCUAAUACCGGAUAACAACAGAUGAUGCCUAUCAACUGUUUAAAAGAUGGUUCUGCUAUCACUCUUGGAUGGACCUGCGGUGCAUUAGCUAGUUGGUAGGGUAACGGCCUACCAAGGCGAUGAUGCAUAGCCGAGUUGAGAGACUGAUCGGCCACAUUGGGACUGAGACACGGCCCAAACUCCUACGGGAGGCAGCAGUAGGGAAUCUUCCACAAUGGACGCAAGUCUGAUGGAGCAACGCCGCGUGAGUGAAGAAGGGUUUCGGCUCGUAAAGCUCUGUUGUUGGUGAAGAAGGACAGGGGUAGUAACUGACCUUUGUUUGACGGUAAUCAAUUAGAAAGUCACGGCUAACUACGUGCCAGCAGCCGCGGUAAUACGUAGGUGGCAAGCGUUGUCCGGAUUUAUUGGGCGUAAAGCGAGUGCAGGCGGCUCGAUAAGUCUGAUGUGAAAGCCUUCGGCUCAACCGGAGAAUUGCAUCAGAAACUGUCGAGCUUGAGUACAGAAGAGGAGAGUGGAACU